GCCGGGCAACUGCUUGGGGUGGAAACAUAAGUAAUAGUCAAAGUUCAUCAAUAAGGUUACAAAUGGUUGGCUCAAAGAGAAAACAUUCUGAUACCUUUAAUCGUGCAGAUGACAGCAGCAUGAAUCUGAUUGGAGUGCAAUAUAAUGGACUGCCCUCAUACCAACACCUAAGUACGUCUAUUUCAAAAUGCACUUCCCCUGGGGCAAAGCUGAAUGCCAACUCUGUAGAGAAGAAAAACAAAAAAAUCCGGGCAACUGCUCGGGGUGGAAACAUCAGUAAUAGUCAAAGUUCAUCAAUAGGGUUACAAAUGGUUGGUUCAAAGAGAAAACAUUCUGGUACCUUUAAUCGUGCAGAUGACAGCAGCUUGAAUCUG
rnacentral:lncRNA from 1 species